UAACAGGUAGAAGAGUUUGAACCCUCCAAGGGACCUGACCUAUCUUUUCAUCACCCACAAAUGUCCACGAAGCAGUGGACCCAGAGGUUAAGGUUUCUGCGAAGAAAUCUGAAGACUGGAGAAAUGUUACAUUUCUAUCCAAAUCGAGGCCACUUUCAUUGCGGUUUGCUCGUAAUAAACCCGACUCGAUUGCUUAGUGAGUAUGAACAGUUACUUUGCUCUGUACCCAGCUUGUUUGAAAGCUGUGCUUCUUUUAUUAGCGGUCCAUCUGAAAGGACUUAAAAAAGAACAAACUGUCACAACACUACAAGAACUGUCUCAGGAAAGGUGGCUUUGUUUGUGUAAGAGUUUGGAUUGAUCUGAGAAGAUGAGGCAUCCAAGUGCAGCACAAGAAAGAUGAUAGAGAAGAGCAGGACAGGAGGCAAGAUGAGAAACUGGAUGGCUUCCCACCGCUCACUGAGUCAGGGCAUCACAGCCUGCCUUCAUUCCUUUGUUUGAAGUAAAUUCCCGGAACAGCAGACACACCCAUACUCACAUGUACUGCAGACAAAGAAGGACAGAAGAUCACUCCUACCACUCGGGUCUAAAAGGGUGAAGUCAUAACUUACUCCAGCAGCCCACCAACCAUGCACCUUGAGCGGAAUUCAGGAAGGAAAGCAGGAUAAGGCCCUCUGUGCUUUGGAGAAACAGAUCCCUGGACAGGAUCAUGAAAUGAAGCCACAUCAGUAAGACUAGGGAUAACGUCUUCUUUGUUCUGCAUCACAUACUCAACACCUAACACAGGACCUGGCCCAUGCUAUUGAAGCAAGAAAUAGAUGGGUCCCAGGCUGAGCAACUGUAACCUGUUCCCUGAGGACAGAUAACUUCAAGAUAAAGCGCAUGGCAGGAGCAAGGAGGAGCUGUGUCUUGCGUGGAUACAAGGCAGAGACUAUUUAUUACUCAUUCUUGAGGCCCAGGAGACCUCCAAAACCACAGAAAGAUCCCUCUGGGGUCAGAGAAAGGAGAGGCACCAGACCACAGUAUAUCGUGUCAACUUCCCAGAAACCUGGGUGUUAGAAUCCAUCCUGGCUAAAAGAUGCGAGCGUGCACACAGGAGAGGGCCCUGAGUCAGGCCAAAUGUGGGCUCAAGGCCAGACAAAGCGAGAUGAUUGGCUAGAGGAAGCCGGAAAGGACUGGCUCAAUUCAGGUGAUUUAAAUCACAGUGUCUCUCUCUUCCUCUCUCUGUCUCUCCCUCUCCCCACCACCCACUGGAGCCUGACCGUGCUUUUCCCCACUUCUAUCUUCUCUCUCUUCUCUCUGAAUAAACGCUUAUUUGCCUCAUACCCUCAGUCUCUUUGCUGAUUUCUUUCUCCAAAGGGAUAAGUUCUGGGGAACAACAUCAAGUGAUUAGGGUGCAAUGUUUUCACCCCAUAGCCACCCGAGAAAAAUAUGUGUUCAAUAAACACGUUUACUGAUUGAAUGUGUGAAAAAAAUGGACUGAUCAAUUCAGUUUUAAAAAAAAAAUCCAAGUAGCCAUUUGAAGUUUUAGGGUAAAUAUUUGGGUGGGAUCAUGCAGACAGUCAGACAAUAAAAAAUUAUUGUCAUCUUUAUAAAGCAUAAGGUAUAAAGGCUAUAUAUAUAGCCUUCUAAGACUUAAAAGUUAUUUGCUAUUGCUCACAUAUAAAUGUUCCCAGCAGUUAUUAGUUUUCAAAAUGGAAGAUUUCCAUACAUUUUUGUAUACUCUUAUUACUGCCAUCAUAUCUGUGAUGGGGAUGGAGGAGGCACAGGUAGUUGUAGGGGUCCCAGUGAGGGACCACAGGUAGAGAGGGAAACUUAGGGCACUUCGGGAGAUCACUGUAAGUUAACAAACUGCUCAAGAAAGCCAUCAGAACAAGUCAGCCCUGCUUGGUAAGUGGAGGUGCGAGAAUUGCUUCAGGUCUUUGGAUGGAUAGGAUUAGGCCUGCAUUCAGAUUCAGAUCAAGGGCUGGAGCUUGAGGACCGCCCUUCUGCUGAUUUGCAUACACUCCAUUCUGGAUACGGAGGAGGAGCUACUAGGCUGAGAAUGGAAGAGGAGGUCUUUUCCGACCCUCACUCCCCUUGGAUGAUAAAACUAUAGCCCCCCUAACCCUGGGGCAGAGCCUCCUUGCCUGCUUGCUUGCAUCUGUCACAAGCGUCCUAUCUUAAUAAAUCUAUUUCUUGCCUAUCUUUUUCUCUCUCGCUGAAUGCCUUCUGCACAGAGGCAAAAAGAACCUGAACCUCGGUGAGUGCAGACACCAGGAAAGUGAUUUUAAUUUAACACUGUGUGUUUAAAUCCCAGUCUGGAUUUUGGCUGGCUUUGAGUCCUGCCCGGCACAUGGCUUCCAGUCCCACUCUGGGUGCUGGCUAGGUUCAGGCCAUUAGUGCUGUCAGGUUCAUCCACAGGUUCUUACCCUGCACUGUAUAAAAUAUACAUCUACUUACAACUGAAAUGCAUAGGGUUACCAAGAGAUUUCACAGGCUUGGAAAUACUGCAUUUAGUUGUGGAUUUGUAUUGUGCUGUUUAAAGGCAAACUAAUUCUUGACACUUUUUUUUUUCUGAGAUAAAUUGACUAUAUUUACAAUGUUUAGUUGCUUCAAUACUUUGUAAAUCAGAAUCCAGCUUAGAAAGCAACAUAUUUCAUAUUUCAACUAUUUGAUUUGAUUUAUACAUAAGGGCAAAGAAUGAAGGAGCCAAAAUUUAUCAGAAUUGUAUAGAUGAACCUCUGCAUAAAAUUAUUCUAAAAAGUUUAUUUUGCUUAAUGAUUUCUCUUAACCUGAUCUAUGCAUUUCAAAGAUUGCUAAGGACCAGUAUAUUCUCUCUCCCUCUCUGUCUCUCUCUCACAUACACACACAUUACCAAAUACCUGAAUGAUUAAUAUUAUGUAAACAAGAUACCUGGAUGAUAGAUUUUCACUUCCAAUAAAGACGUUUGAACAGUUCUA